UACGGGGGGGGCAAGCGUUGUUCGGAAUUACUGGGCGUAAAGGGCUCGUAGGCGGCCAACUAAGUCAGACGUGAAAUCCCUCGGCUUAACCGGGGAACUGCGUCUGAUACUGGAUGGCUUGAGGUUGGGAGAGGGAUGCGGAAUUCCAGGUGUAGCGGUGAAAUGCGUAGAUAUCAGGAGGAACACCGGUGGCGAAGGCGGGUCUCUGGGCCGAUACUGACGCUGAGGAGCGAAAGCGUGGGGAGCGAACAGG
rnacentral:rRNA from 1 species